rnacentral:rRNA from 1 species
GACGAACCGAGCGAACGUUGUUCGGAAUCACUGGGCGUAAAGGGCUCGUAGGUGGCCAACUAAGUCAGACGUGAAAUCCCUCAGCUUAACUGGGGAACUGCGUCUGAUACUGGAUGGCUUGAGUUUGGGAGAGGGAUGCGGAAUUCCAGGUGUAGCGGUGAAAUGCGUAGAUAUCUGGAGGAACACCGGUGGCGAAGGCGGCAUCCUGGACCAAUACUGACACUGAGGAGCGAAAGCCAGGGGAGCAAACGGG